AGGUGAAAAGUUCCCAUCAAAGCGGGAAUGUGUUGAGCAUCCAUUCCUAACAGAGGCAAGCAUUAUCCAUGUUGUACUAUUUGCCUGCUGGUGUAUAAUGUACAGCCAAGAUGGUUGUUUCUGGUGGUAUUUCUCUCUCCUCUGCCUUCGUAGAUGCAUUCAACGAGGCUCCCAGACACAGAUUAACGGAUUUCAGGACAGACCAGGGCUCAAUUUUUCCAGUUUUCAAUUUUUCCCAAAACGCAACAGUUGAAUUGCUCACCAGCUUCUCCUCUGCACACUCCAGGAUUUGUCUCUCUCCCUGCUCCUGAAGAAAGCCAUGCUACAACAGGUAGAUUACUCAUCUAUAAAAUCAAAUUGACUCAUUAAAGUCUAUAUUAGCUUCAGUGUUCAUCAUGAAAUAUAGUUAGUCAAAUCACAUUGGGGGAACUCUAACAAAUUAAUAGUGGAAUGGUUUCAAGGAUAAAGGUAAAGGUUUCUCCUUGAACUGAAUGUAUAGUCAUAAUUGACUAUAGGGAGCAGUGCUUAUCUCCGUUACUAACCUGAAGAGCCAGCGUUGUCCAAAGAUGACUCUGGUGGUCAUGUGGCCACCAUGACAGCACAGAACGCUGUUACCUUCCCACUGAAGCAGUACCAGUUUAUCUACUUGCAUUGCAUGCUGUCUGACUGCUAGGUUGGUAAAAGCUGAGACUAGUGACGUGAGCUCACCCUAUCAGGCAGCACUUGGGCCUCUUACUGCCAAUCUUCCAACCUUAUGAUUGUCAGAACUGGUGUCUUACUAAACCAUUAUUUUCAAGCUCUAGAGUUUUAUUUUGUUUUUGCUUGAUCUGAGCACCCCUGUGACUAUAACAGUGAUACUUUUUUCCCCUUGCAUUUUUACAAUCCUUGCCUGAUGAAGACACCAAUGGAUCUCACUAGUAUGACGAGUUUUGCACCUUUGGCCUAAUAAAGAGAGCCAGCAUGGUGUACUGGUUUCAGUGUUGAACUAGGACUCUGCAAACCAGGGUUUGAAUCCCCACUCCGGCCAUGGAAACCCACUCAUCUCCACGUACAAAAGACAACUACAUGCCCUUUGUUGAUUAAAGAAGAGCAAUUCACAUCUUCUCUGGAUAGAGCUCCUCUUUUGCAGUAUCUGCCGUUGUAUUUGGUGGAGAUGGAAAAACAAAUGCGAUGGUGAACUGAACAAGUGGAAAAAAUUAUGUACAGUCUGCCAGGAGUAGCCUCUGAUGGAAAGGGUCUGUUCGGUUCAGCCUAUGACAGCCUCUUAUGCUUGCAGAAAACGAUGAAGUUCAUGACCUGGUUGCAGAGAUUCACAGCACAUAUUUAUGGGUCAUAGAUUUCCUCUCCACCGCCCCUUCAGCCAUCCAGUCUGCUGUGCUGUAAGCCGCUGCCAUCUGGACAGACGAUCAAAACACCUUUCUGGACAUUUUGCUAAACCUGUGCUGGAGCAUAUGGUUUUCCAGUUAUUGUUCAUGGCCGUGAGUAUCCUUCGGCUGAAAUGCGGUACAGCGUUUUGUAAACAAAUAACAUAAAAUUCAUUUAGAAAACCUGCCUCCUUUUUAAAAGGUGCCACAUGUAGUCAGUCACCAGAGGUGAGAGUGUUAUCAGGUUUCAGCUGUGGUUGCAUCAUGGGGGCCCACCCAUAUGCAAAGGUGAAUGUACUUGGGAAUAAACACACCAGUAAUAGCGUAUGUAUUUUCCAGGGUAUCACGUUGCUGUUUUGAUGUCCAGGGGAGCCAUUAUAGUAUUAGCCCGCAUACUGAAUUUCAAGGUACAUUCAUCAUUUGUUGUUCUGCUGGGACACACUGGAAGAGACUAGCUGUGCACAGGGUGCCUUUGCAUAUGGAACAAUUUUUACGUUUGAAUAGGAAACUGGAAACGACCCAUUUGACAGCGAUGCUCAAAAACACUGAAGAACUCCCAUUAUUUCUCCAUUUCAUAUGGGAGACUCACAGCAAGUCAUUUGACAUGAUUGCAUUUCUUUGUUUUCAUUGAUCUUUUCUUCCUGUUUUCAACUCAUGCUGAAGUUAUUUAAAUAUGCGUACAUCCCUGUCUCAGAAGUUCGCCACUGCCAAACAUUGUAUACAAACAGCUAAAACAACAAGAAAUAAACUAUAAAGAGAUAAAUGAUUCAUAGCUGCUACAGGUCCAUCCACACACAUUUCUUACUGUGUUUGCUGAGGAUCAUCUAUUGUUCGCCAGAAGUUCUUGGACUGCGCAUCCCAGAAGCCCUAGACAAUAUAGCCAAGGGCGAGGGAUGCUGAGAGUUGCAGUCCAGCAACAUCCAGAGGGCCAUACUUUUGCACUUGCUCUAGAGAGGAGCCCACAAAAUAGUUAGAACAAUCUACAAAUAUUUUAAUUUGGCAUAUGAAUUAUUAUUAGGAGGAGGGCACUCUUGUUUGAUGUGAAGAGUAGCUGUUAACUGUUUGGUACAUUUAGAUAACCUGUCCAAGCACAUUUCCCUGUCUUCUUCUAGCCCAGACCCACCUGGCUAGAAAUGCUUACUCUCAAUUGAAAUAAUUGUAAAUGGAUGGGAAGCACACAACCCUCCAGAUGUAAAAUGGCAACUUCCAGCAGCCUUAGCCAGCUUAGCUAAUAGUGAGGAAUGCUGGGAGUUGCAGUCCAGCAACAUCUGGAAGUCUGCAUGAUCCUACACCCCCGAUUCUCAAGAUGGAGCAAUGAGGACAAAGAGAGAUUGAAUGCCUUACCCAGCAGUAACUGAUGAGGUUAUGGCUCAACUGAACUUUCAAACUGGAAUCUGAAACCAGCCUUUCUAGUGGGAAUUGUAUCCUGCAAACAUAACUACACUGAAAGAGAUUUUCUUCUUUGUGUUUUGCUUAGGUAGGCCUCAUUCCCACUAUGUUUUAAAGCAGUUUGCAAACUCAUUUGAAGUGGUUUAAAUGACCCUUGUUCGCACUUGAGCCGAAUCACUGAAACGGUUUGGAGAGGGGGCAAUGAGCUAGACCCAUUUAACCUUCUUUUUGACGCUCAUUUUUUUCUGCGUCUUUUUGCAAUAAAUCGAUUCAGCGCAAGUGUGAACGGGAUGCAGAUCAGAAUCUAUUAUUUUUUAUGAUGGGAUCAGAUGAUCAUCCACUGAAGAGGGUCCCUUUGAAACCAAAUCAUUGGUCAGUGUGAACGAGAAGUGGGUUAUUUUACAACAAGAAAAUGAGAUUGGGGCAAAUGCAGUGUGAACCACACUCCGCCGUCAAAUCAAUCCAUCAAUUCGGAUUGCAAACUGAUUUAUUUGUAAGUGGGAAUGAGACCUUAGUAAUGGUGCAUUGGAUCCAGAGAUGUCCUUGCAGUAAUGCAGCACGUGAACACAUGCUGUUCAUAUCACUUUAAAAAUAAUAGAUUACUACUCUUUUGUCUCUCUAACGUGUGGCCUGCCAGAUAUGAAGACAGCAACUUCUGAAAUUAGUCAGGUUUGCUUUCUCUCCUUUUUGAAUGGCUAGUUUCUGCUUGCAUUUGCGUGUUUGAAGGGAAGUCAAGUGGGUAAUUGCUUAUGUAGCAAUUUUCUCGUAUCAGACUUUAACUAGUGGUUCAGAAUUCCGUGAAGGAUGGCUACAUUUACCACUCAAAGCUGAUGACUUGGUUGGAAAAACCGCCGCUGUAGCAAACGUCUGUGUGAAAUCUUCUCUAACAACCUGGGGGGGAAAUGGCAAAACUUGCUGAAUAAAAUAAGAUGCGCUUCAAUGAAGACGUUCUGCAUAAGAGUAUAUUCCAACCGCACGUCAAAUUAGUUCUGAGUAUUGAAAUUAAUUAUCAUAACCAGAUACUGUCAUAUUACCUUAAGCAAAAUGCUGAUAUCAUGCCAUUUCCCAAAGAUUAUGAUGUUCAGCUUUUCAUGCUUUGAAUAAACAGCGUGAUAGUCUCCAGCCUUGGUUCGAAAACAGCAAAAGACAGAACUACUGUUGUACAAAGUCAUGUCACCACUUUUUGUUUCCUAAGGUUUUUUCCCCCCGCUAUAAAACUAAGUCAUUAGAUCUAGACGAUUGUAGGAGGAACAACAGACCUUCAUGAUACCAGGAAUAACUUAACCUGGCUUGCCCUCUGCAGUGAUAAUCUUGCUCAGGAGCUGUUUAUGCAGAAGGCUCCAGGAGUUGUAAUUAAUAAACUAAGUCUAAUUAUCCCAGGGAAUCAAUACAACUUAAAAUAUCUGUUGUCUUACCCAGUUCCUAUUGAUUUCAUUGUUUCACUCUAGUUUGGGCUAAUUAUUGGACUUGGCUCUAAGGCCAAAGUCCUAUUAGUUCAGUAGCAGAAUCCACUGGGUGACCUUGGACAAGUCACACUCUCUCAGCCUCAGAGGAUGGCAAUGGUAAACCCUCCCUGAAGAAACAUGCCAAGAAAACCCCAUGGUAGGUUCACCUUUGGGUCGCCAUAAGUUGAAAACAACUUGAAGGCACAUAACAACACAGUGUAAACCUUUGCCACCUGACUUAUGCUGGAGGGCAAAGGCUGUCCUUGCCCAACCCAAAUGUGGUGGCUCCUGGGUAUGCUCUAGUGGCCAGUCGUUCCAGGUUCAGGAAGACAAAGACUGCUUCUUUCCCCACCUGUGCAAUGCAAGCUGGACAGCACCAAGGCACACACACACACCCACAGUGGUAGAUUACAGUCCUUCCAGCUAGGAGUAGCCUGAAUAUCUCCUUGUGUAAUGGCCUUUAACACAUUUGCACUGGCAAAUGACAGUCUAAACACAACCUGACACUGGUCUUGGGUGCAACCGGACUUUUCCUACACACCUCAGGACUCAUACGUGUCAAAAUGGAAUGUAUAAUCCCAACAAAUAUGCUGAGUACCAGCCAAUGUCAGAUUAUACAGUAAUCUGGGAUGACCAGUUUGAAACUCUAACACAUUUGAACACAUCCAGAUUUGUAUUAGAGUUGUAUUGUAAUGUAUGUGUGUAUCGGUUUUUAUUAUUGCAUUACUGUAUUGUAUUUUACUGUGUUUGUUAGCUGCCUUGAUCCUAUGGGGAGAGGAGGGAUAUAAAUAAAUUAUUAUUAUUAUUAUUAUUAUUAUUAUUAUUAUUUCAUUCCUUGUGGUAUAGCAUCCAAUA